UUGUUAGCAGCUGUCAUCGGUGCCUCUUUCGAGAGGUGAAACGGGAAUGCGGUGCGGGGAUUCAUCCCCAAUGCCGCGGCUGCCCCCGCAACUGUAAGCGGUCAUCCGAUCCACAAAGCCACUGGACCUCGCGCUGGCGAGUCCGGGAAGGCGGAUCAGGAUAACGACCGCGAGCCAGGAGACCGGCCGCUGACGAACAUUAACU
rnacentral:ncRNA from 2 species